rnacentral:tRNA from 2 species
GGCCUAAUGGCCCAAUGGCAAGGCGCUUGACUACGACCCAGUUCGGCAAAUCAAGAGAUUCCAGGUUCGACCCCUGGUUAGGUCA